UACGGAGGGUGCAAGCGUUAAUCGGAAUUACUGGGCGUAAAGCGCGCGUAGGCGGUUAUUUAAGUCAGAUGUGAAAGCCCCGGGCUUAACCUGGGAAUGGCAUUUGAUACUGGAUGGCUAGAGUGUGGUAGAGGUGAGUGGAAUUUCAGGUGUAGCGGUGAAAUGCGUAGAGAUCUGAAGGAACAUCAGUGGCGAAGGCGACUCACUGGGCCAUUACUGACGCUGAGGUGCGAAAGCGUGGGUAG
rnacentral:rRNA from 1 species